rnacentral:rRNA from 1 species
UUCUGCCACCGAAUACAUUAGCAUGGGAUAAUGGAAUAGGACCCUGUCCUCCUAUUUUCAGUUGGUUUUGGCAGCGCGAGGACUAGGGUAAUGAUUAAUAGGGAUAGUUGGGGGCAUUAAUAUUUAAUUGUCAGAGGUGAAAUUCUUGGAUUUAUGAAAGAUUAACUUCUGCGAAAGCAUCUGCCAAGGAUGUUUUCAUUAAUCAAGAACGAAAGUUAGGGGAUCGAAGACGAUCAGAUACCGUCGUAGUCUUAACCAUAAACGAUGCCGACCAGCGAUUAGGAGACGUUGAAUACAAAACACCACCAUCGGCGCGGUCGUCCUUGGCGUUCGUGUUCACGCACGAGCGCGAGGGCGGCUUAGCCCGAUGGCACCGGUGA